AGAGCGGCAUCCUGUCAAAUCAGGCAGCUUUUUCGCGUAAGCGGGAUUGAAAAAUCGGGCUAAUUCGGGGGACUCCGGAUAUCAUGACUUUGUCACCAUCCGGACAAUCCCGAGCUAAAUUGACGCACCAGUCGGUGCAUCAUAAAUGUGUAGAGACUAUAUACCCGACCCCGUACCAGUCGGUACAGGGUGAUGAGAUAGUCCAAGCCUUUUGGUAACAGAAGA
rnacentral:ncRNA from 1 species